rnacentral:rRNA from 1 species
ACGCGAAGAACCUUACCUGGGCUUGAACUGUUGCGCUACCCUGGAGACAGGGGGUUCCUUCGGGACGGUAGCAGAGGUGCUGCAUGGCUGUCGUCAGCUCGUGUCGUGAGAUGUUGGGUUAAGUCCCGCAACGAGCGCAACCCUUACUCUUAUUUGCCAGCGGGUAAUGCCGGGCACUCUAAGAGAACUGUCGGUGAUAAGCCGGAGGAAGGUGGGGAUGACGUCAAGUCCUCAUGGCCCUUAUGUCCAGGGCUACACACGUGCUACAAUGGCCGGUACAAAGAGUCGCAAAGCCGCGAGGCGGAGCUAAUCUCGUAAAACCGGUCUCAGUUCGGAUUGGAGUCUGCAAUUCGACUCCAUGAAGCUGGAAUCGCUAGUAAUCGUGGAUCAGCAUGCCACGGUGAAUACGUUCCCGGGCCUUGUACACACCGCCCGUCACACCACGAAAGUUGGUUAUACCAGAAGUCGGUAUCCCAACCCGCAAGGGGGGGAGCCGCCGUAGGUA